GGCUGGCCUGAAGGUAGUGAUUCAUCUCAAAUGACUGUUCAGUCAGUCACAGGUUGAAAUCCUUGUUCUACUCUUUCUCCCCGUCUCACUACUGUAAUUGACUAGUCUUUU
ensembl:misc_RNA Y_RNA Y RNA